rnacentral:misc_RNA from 1 species
GAUGAAGAACGUAGCGAAAUGCGAUAAGUAAUGUGAAUUGCAGAAUUCAGUGAAUCAUCGAAUCUUUGAACGCACCUUGCGCUCCUUGGUAUUCCGAGGAGCAUGCCUGUUUGAGUGUCAUUAAAUUCUCAACCUCAUCAGUUUUGUUAUGAAGCUGUGUGAGUCUUGGAUGUGGGGGUUUGUGCAGGCUGCCUCAGUGCGGUCUGCUCCCCUGAAAUGUAUUAGCGAGUUCCAACUGGGCUCCGUCUAUUGGUGUGAUAAUUAUCUACGCCGUGGAUUGGGCUUAGACUUGCUUCUAACCGUCCGCAAGGACAAUCUUUUGACAAUUUGACCUCAAAUCAGGUAGGACUACCCGCUGAACUUAAGCAUAUCAAUAAGCGGAGGA